rnacentral:lncRNA from 1 species
GGGCGAGGGGCUGCGCGGAGAAGGGUCGGGGGGCCCGCGCGGCCCCGGCUCCGGGGAGCUUCCCGCGGCGGCCUGGAGAUGCGGGAGAGGAGGGAGGGGCGGGGAGGGGCGGGAGGGCGAGAGGAAGAAGGGGUGAGCGCAGAAACCUGCCGCUGCUCGCUGCCUCUUUGUCUGCUCCGGGACUUGGAACAAAAGGGGGAACUCUGAUGAACUCUCCUCGCCGCGCUCCCCCGCGCGCCCGCCUCGAUCUCCGCCCGCAACUUGGCCGCCGCGCCUUUCGCCGCUGUCAGGCCCCCCCCCAAAAGUGUCGGGGCGCCUCGCGGGCUGCGGCCCGGGAAGGGUCCCCGAGGAAUGCGACCAAGUCCGAGCCGGGGAAGAAGGUGUAAUUAUUAUCAGCACCUAGAAACUAUCAUGCAAUGGCUGGAGUACUUUGCAGUCUGACCUUCUCCGUACUGCGCUGUUCUUAUUGGAUCUCUGGGAUUACUAACACAGCAUCAAACCAUUCUUGGGUGAAAGGUUAUCACUUCUUCAUUUGGAGUUACUAAAAAGUGAACUGUUGGGAUUUUUCAUGAUGCCUUCACUAUGUGGAUUACUACGUUUGGACCACUGGGAAUUCUCCGCUGCGAAGAAGGUAUGCUUCUUUUAAAUACUCCACAAACACUUCA